rnacentral:rRNA from 1 species
UACGGGAGGCAGCAGUAAGGAAUAUUGCGCAAUGGGCGAAAGCCUGACGCAGCGACGCCGCGUGGGGGAUGAAGGUCUUCGGAUUGUAAACCCCUUUCGGGAGGGAAGAUGGAGCGAGCAAUCGUUCGGACGGUACCUCCAGAAGCAGCCACGGCCAACUUCGUGCCAGCAGCCGCGGUAAUACGAAGGUGGCAAGCGUUGUUCGGAUUCACUGGGCGUACAGGGUGUGUAGGCGGUUUGGUAAGCCUUCUGUUAAAGCUUCGGGCCCAACCCGGAAAGCGCAGAGGGUACUGCCAGGCUAGAGGGUGGGAGAGGAGCGCGGAAUUCCCGGUGUAGCGGUGAAAUGCGUAGAGAUCGGGAGGAAGGCCGGUGGCGAAGGCGGCGCUCUGGAACAUACCUGACGCUGAGACACGAAAGCGUGGGGAGCAAACAGGAUUAGAUACCCUGGUAGUCCACGCCCUAAACUAUGGAUACUAAGUGUCGGCGGGUUACCGCCGGUGCCGCAGCUAACGCAUUAAGUAUCCCGCCUGA